rnacentral:rRNA from 1 species
AUUGAACGCUGGCGGCAGGCCUAACACAUGCAAGUCGAACGAGUGGCGGACGGGUGAGUAAUGUCUGGGAAACUGCCCGAUGGAGGGGGAUAACUACUGGAAACGGUAGCUAAUAACGCAUACCAUCGGAUGUGCCCAGAUGGGAUUAGCUAGGAGGUGGGGUAACGGCUCACCUAGGCGACGAUCCCUAGCUGGUCUGAGAGGAUGACCAGCCACACUGGCACUGAGACACGGUCCAGACUCCUACGGCAGGCAGCAGUGGGGACUAUUGCCCAAUGGGCGCAAGCCUGAUGCAGCCAUGCCGCGUGUAUGCAGAAGGCCUUCGGGUUGUAAAGUACUUUCAGCGAGGAGGCGUUACUCGCAGAAGAAGCACCGGCUAACUCCGUGCCAGCAGCCGCGGUAAUUC